AGCAGCCGCGGUAAUUCCAGCUCCAAUAGCGUAUAUUAAAGUUGUUGCAGUUAAAAAGCUCGUAGUUGAAUUUCGGGGUCAAUAAGUUGGUCGUGCCAAUGGUAUGUACUGGCUUUAUUGAUUCCUACCUCUUGACGAACUGUGAUGCCAUUAAUUUGGUGUUGCAGGAAAUCAGGACUGUUACCUUGAAAAAAUUAGAGUGUUUAAAGCAGGCUUACGCUUGAAUACAUUAGCAUGGAAUAAUGAAAUAGGACGUUUGAACCUAUUUUGUUGGUUUCUAGGAUCGACGUAAUGAUUAAUAGGGAUAGUUGGGGGCAUUAGUAUUCAAUUGUCAGAGGUGAAAUUCUUGGAUUUAUUGAAGACUAACUACUGCGAAAGCAUUUGCCAAGGAUGUUUUCAUUAAUCAAGAACGAAAGUUAGGGGAUCGAAGACGAUCAGAUACCGUCGUAGUCUUAACCAUAAACUAUGCCGACUAGGGAUCGGAUGAUGUUAAUUUUUAAUGACUCAUUCGGCGCCUUAC
rnacentral:rRNA from 1 species